AAAUUAACUAAGCGUAUAAAUAGGGUCACGUAUUAUUCCAAGACCCUUAACACAGUUCUUGAAAAUAUGACAGACUGCGUACAAUGUACAAGAAACAGUAAGAUUUGAUGCAGAACAUAAAAGCUUUAGAGAAAAUAAGGUUUCUUAAUCUGUAACUUUAAUAAUUUAAGAUUAACUUUUAAAAGCAACAUUAACCUCUGAAUAGUUUUUCCUGCCCUCAAAACCACUCGAGGGCACCAAAAAAGCUCACAUUUAAUAGAAGCAACAUAAAAGAAACUUUCUAAUUAUUCCAUCCUUCAGGAACAGGGCCAAGGGAGGCAGUCAGCAGAAAUGAAGCUCCGUCCGGACAGUGUGAAGGUGAUCUAUGUGGUGAUCAGAACAGCAGAGGGCUAUGAACUUUGCCGGCCCCUUGAGGAUCCACUGGAGACGCUGAGCCUGGCACAGUGCUGGGAACAUAGUAGACGCUGAAUAAAUGUUUGUUGAAUGAAUAAACCUUCAUGUUUUUGUCUGAGGACGUUUCUCCAGAGGAUGGCAGAGAGUUUUGCACAGGAACGGCCUCUGCCUUAUCAAAAAAAUGCAGAGAACUGCAUGAUGGAUCUGAACAUGAAACAUGGCCACAUGGGACACAGAAGCCAAAAGCAAAUGACAUGGAACUUCCAGAUCCAGAUUAACAGCAGUCACCAUGAGCGGCGUGACAUGAUGUCCACGAUCAGGUCAUCAGCUGCAAUUCUGGGAUCACCAGCAACAUUUAACAAAUGCCAGGAUAUGUGGGGGUAA
rnacentral:lncRNA from 1 species